UACGUAGGUGGCAAGCGUUGUCCGGAUUUACUGGGCGUAAAGAGCGCGCAGGCGUCGUCCAAGUCGCGUCGUGAAAGCCCCCGGCUCAACUGGGGAGGGUCACGCGAUACUGGUCGACUCGAAGGCAGGAGAGGGUAGUGGAAUUCCCGGUGUAGUGGUGAAAUGCGUAGAUAUCGGGAGGAACACCAGUGGCGAAGGCGACUACCU
rnacentral:rRNA from 1 species